AUGCUAGUCGGUUCCUAAGGCGAGGCUGAAAAGCGUAGUCGAUGGGAAACAGGUUAAUAUUCCUGUACUUCUGGUUACUGCGAUGGAGGGACGGAGAAGGCUAGGCCAGCUUGGCGUUGGUUGUCCAAGUUUAAGGUGGUAGGCUGAAAUCUUAGGUAAAUCCGGGGUUUCAAGGCCGAGAGCUGAUGACGAGUCGUCUUUUAGAUGACGAAGUGGUUGAUGCCAUGCUUCCAAGAAAAGCUUCUAAGCUUCAGGUAACCAGGAACCGUACCCCAAACCGACACAGGUGGUCGGGUAGAGAAUACCAAGGCGCUUGAGAGAACUCGGGUGAAGGAACUAGGCAAAAUGGCACCGUAACUUCGGGAGAAGGUGCGCCGGCUAGGGUGAAGGAUUUACUCCGUAAGCUCUGGCUGGUCGAAGAUACCAGGCCGCUGCGACUGUUUAUUAAAAACACAGCACUCUGCAAACACGAAAGUGGACGUAUAGGGUGUGACGCCUGCCCGGUGCCGGAAGGUUAAUUGAUGGGGUUAGCGCAAGCGAAGCUCUUGAUCGAAGCCCCGGUAAACGGCGGCCGUAACUAUAACGGUCCUAAGGUAGCGAAAUUCCUUGUCGGGUAAGUUCCGACCUGCACGAAUGGCGUAACGAUGGCGGCGCUGUCUCCACCCGAGACUCAGUGAAAUUGAAAUCGCUGUGAAGAUGCAGUGUAUCCGCGGCUAGACGGAAAGACCCCGUGAACCUUUACUGUAGCUUUGCACUGGACUUUGAGCCUGCUUGUGUAGGAUAGGUGGGAGGCUUUGAAGCGUGGACGCCAGUUCGCGUGGAGCCAUCCUUGAAAUACCACCCUGGCAUGCUUGAGGUUCUAACUCUGGUCCGUGAUCCGGAUCGAGGACAGUGUAUGGUGGGCAGUUUGACUGGGGCGGUCUCCUCCUAAAGAGUAACGGAGGAGUACGAAGGUGCGCUCAGACCGGUCGGAAAUCGGUCGCAGAGUAUAAAGGCAAAAGCGCGCUUGACUGCGAGACAGACACGUCGAGCAGGUACGAAAGUAGGUCUUAGUGAUCCGGUGGUUCUGUAUGGAAGGGCCAUCGCUCAACGGAUAAAAGGUACUCCGGGGAUAACAGGCUGAUACCGCCCAAGAGUUCAUAUCGACGGCGGUGUUUGGCACCUCGAUGUCGGCUCAUCACAUCCUGGGGCUGAAGCCGGUCCCAAGGGUAUGGCUGUUCGCCAUUUAAAGUGGUACGCGAGCUGGGUUUAGAACGUCGUGAGACAGUUCGGUCCCUAUCUGC
rnacentral:rRNA from 1 species